rnacentral:lncRNA from 1 species
GGGGAAAGAAUGUUAAGUUCAAUUUUCCUGAUAAUCCUCCGGAAAUUCUUAACGGGAGGUCAAUGACGCCGGUUCAAAUCCAGGCCGCUGCAGCCCGAUUUGCACACUCGGAUUCGGGUAAUUUGAAUCCGUCUUCUCCUUCUUCUUCUUCUUCGAUUUCGUCUUCUGAAUUAUUAGAGUCCCUUUCGCCGUCAGUUUCCGAUGAAGCGGCUCAAUUGGACCGAGAGAUCAUCGAAAUACCUACGGACGAUGCAUUCAUGGAUCAACUAUUGACAAUGGGAAAUGAAAAUUCCGUACUGGAUUUCGGGAAUUUUCCGGCCUUCGAUGAUAUUACCAGCGAUUUUUUGACGGCACCAUUGCCUGAUUACUGGCCUGGGAACACUGAUAACAUACCUCAAGACUCGUUUCUUUGGAAUUUUUGAAGCCUCGUUUUUUCUUUUCAGCUUUCUGGAAUUACUGAUUUUUCAUAGAAGUGAUGGAACGAUUUUUG